rnacentral:rRNA from 1 species
GAAGGGGGCUAGCGUUGCUCGGAAUCACUGGGCGUAAAGCGCACGUAGGCAGACUCUUAAGUCGGUGGUGAAAUCCUGGAGCUCAACUCCAGAACUGCCUUCGAUACUGAGAGUCUCGAGUCCGGGAGAGGUGAGUGGAACUGCGAGUGUAGAGGUGAAAUUCGUAGAUAUUCGCAAGAACACCAGUGGCGAAGGCGGCUCACUGGCCCGGUACUGACGCUGAGGUGCGAAAGCGUGGGGAACAAACAGGAUUAGAUACCCUGGUAGUCCACGCCGUAAACGAUGGAUGCUAGCCGUUGGCAGGCUUGCCUGUCAGUGGCGCAGCUAACGCAUUAAGCAUCCCGCCUGGGGAGUACGGUCGCAAGAUUA